CACUAUGGUCACUGAAAGUCUCAUUCGUCUAACUUACAGUGGGGGAAAUAAGUAUUUGACACACGGGCGUAGGUUUGGUCUCAAUAUUGGUAGGGACACCCACCCACCCCGGAAAGAAAAGGACUGUUUAAUGUUGACAACCAAAUGGUUUAUUAAAAUAUAACAUCUAUAUUUACAUUAAGAUUACAUUUAAAUACAAAUUAUACAAAGCAACAGAACAAAGACUAAAAGAUUCUAAAUUCUAAAAUUCUGCCCUCCCAAAAUAUUGGUAGGGACAUGUCCCUACCGUCCAUAUGCAAAUCUACGCCCUUGAUUUGACACGUCAACAUUUUUUCAGAGAGGGAGCAACAGCAGGACGCUUACAGUAUCCUAAGCCACUGAUAGGCUAUGGAGGAGUUACCUUCUGGCCUGUAAGUACUGUUAGCUCUGAUUCUGUGAGGGAAAACAGAGGGGAGCACCACUUCAAUCCGUUAGCACUGGUGCAGCCGAAUAGGUGAAUCAAUGGAUGUUAUUCGUCAGGAGAGGAAGUAGCAAUUCUAGCUAGCAGUUCUCCAGGAAAGCUCAGUCAGAAAAUGGCAUGAAUCCUCUCAUCAUGGUGGGAGAAAAAAGAAAGUGAAGAGAGAAAUCUGGAGUCCAUCACAGUGUUGGAGGCCAGAAAACUGUGGCUCCGGCUGAACUCAGAAGCUGCAUAGGAUACAGUGGGAGAAAUAACUAUUGAACGCGUCAACAUUUUUUUCAGGGGAACAAGCCACUGAAUUCAUCCUCUUCUGGAAGACACUGGAUAAAAUGCACUGAGCAACAUGUUGAUGACACAUCUUAAUCUGCAUAAGAAGAACAUAAUGAUGAUGGUGAUUAUUCUUUAGGCAGAAGCUACCUGCAGAAUACUAAACCACUUUAACUGUGAUCUUUAAUGAAGCCACGUUUGAGUGUCCAUAUACAUUUUUGUCGAAUUUUGAACAGCAUAUCCAAAUACUUUUCAGGGCUACUGUAUAUGUAUAUGGUGUAUAUACAUAAUUUUUUUAUUGUAUUGCAAUGACAUUACAUAUUUUUGAAUGCUAAAGUUGCAGUUGUUAAAGUACUGUUAGCUCUGAUUCUGUGAGGGAAAACAGAGGGGAGCACCACUUCAAUCCGUUAGCACUGGUGCAGCCGAAUAGGUGAAUCAAUGGAUGUUAUUCGUCAGGAGAGGAAGUAGCAAUUCUAGCUAGCAGUUCUCCAGGAAAGCUCAGUCAGAAAAUGGCAUGAAUCCUCUCAUCAUGGUGGGAGAAAAAAGAAAGUGAAGAGAGAAAUCUGGAGUCCAUCACAGUGUUGGAGGCCAGAAAACUGUGGCUCCGGCUGAACUCAGAAGCUGCAUAGGAUACAGUGGUAGAAAUAACUAUUGAACGCGUCAACUUUUUUUUCAGUAAAUAUAUUUCCUAUGAGGCUAUUCACAUGAAAUUUUCACCAGACAUUGGUAUUAACUCAAGAACUCACAACAUUAAAGUCCAUAAAUAAAGUUAUGUGUAAUAAAGUGGAAUGACACAGGAAAUAAGUACUGAACACACUAACUGAAAUUCAUUUAAUACUUAGUGGAGAUGCCUUUGUUUGUAAUGACAGCUUCAAGACAAUUCCUGUAUGAAGAAAUUAAUCAGCCGCAGUAUUCAGGUGUCAGUGACUGGGCAAUUCUAACGCCUUGAUUUUUUUCUGAAACCAACUGAGAGUUUCCUUUGCUGUAUGCUUUGGAUCGUUGUCCUGCUGGAAGGUCCAUCUACGUCUCAUCUUCAUCAUCCUGGUGGAUGGCAGCAGAUUCUUCUCAAGAAUCUCUCGGUAAAGUGCUCCAUUCAUCGUUCCUUCAAUUAUAUGAAGUCUGCCAGUACCAUGCGAUGAAAAACAGCCCCACACCAUGAUGCUUCCACCUCCAAACUUCACUGUUGGUAUAGUGUUUUAAGGGUGAUGUGCAGUGCGAUUUCUUCUCCAAACAUGGUAUGUAGUAUGACAGUCAAAAAGUUCCAUUUUGCUCUCAUCUGACCAGACUACACUCUCCCAGUAUUUCAUAGGCUUGUCCAAAUGUGUUGCAGCAAACUUUAAACGAGCUUCGACAUGCCUUUUCUUUAGCAACGGAGUCUUUCUUUAGUAACGGGGUGAGCGUGACCAGUGGAGUGCAUUGCCUAUUGUUUUCUCUGUGACGAUGGCACCUGCUGCCUCCAAGUGUUUCUGGAGCUCUUUCCGAGUGGUCCUUGGCUCUUGGGCUACUCUUCUGACUAUUCUUCCGGUGCUUACUGGAGAAUCCAGAAGUUUUGAAAUACGUCUCAAUCCGAUUCCAUCAUAUUGUUUCGCAACAAUAAGGUUCUGAAGGUCUUGGGAGAGCUCUUUGCUUUUACUCAUCAUGAUGUUUCUUGUGUGACACCUUGGUAAUGAAAAGCCUUUUUAUAGAUCAUCAAUUUACUAACCCAGCUGAUAUUAAUUUGCACAGAUAGGAGGUAUAAUUACUUACGGAAUUCAGCUGGUUCCUGACCUUACCUUGCCUUGGAGAACUGCUUUUCCUUAGCCUGUUCAAUACUUUUUUCCUGUGUCAUUCCACUUUAUUACACAUAAAAUGUUGAUGCGUCCAAUACUUAUUUCCACCACUGUACAAAUGAUUAGCUCUCCCGCAGUCACAGUAAAAAACAAACAGUGGCGCAGUGGUAGCUCAUUCAAACCAUAUC